rnacentral:misc_RNA from 1 species
ACGGACUGAAUUGGAGCAGGGAAGCUGAUAAUAGUUUCCGGCGAUUUAGAUUUUGAGCUUGUAGGACUUAAAUUCGACACUGGAGAGAGACUAGUAGGUAUGGAAUUUGGUGGAGAACAAGAAUGUGAAUACGGAUACGAUGCAGUUCUUGAAUUGAAACUUCUAGACCCAAAAUGUGCUCCCUGCAUACCUUGAAGCUCUCUUCUAGAACUCGACCCCAUACGAACCGGACUCUCUUGAAUAGUCUCUUUUCGCCCAGAUGACCCUCUAGG